CUUCGCCUAACAGAAAACAGGCUCUCCAUAGUUGAACUGCAAAGUUCAGCCAUUCUUCGAUAUACAUACUGGUACAAUGAUCUCAAAGAAGAUAGGUAAAUGCAGGCAGUAAUGGAAUGGCCCAUGGAUCGGGAAAAGGUAUACUCGUGACAUGUUAUAUCAACUCCUGAAGACUAAGAAUUUCUGAAUGAGACUCUCUUGUGAUUCUACAGGGAGAACUUGUGUCCGUUGAUUUGAUUGUUGGGAUCCUAAGACAGUUUUCCUAGGCUCCAAGCACAAAAGGUCAACUACUUUUAAUGCCUCUUUUUUUUGUUUGCUUACAUCAAUCAUGAUCUUACCUUAUGGCAUGAGUUUCUUAAUCCAGCUUGAUGAGAUGUUUGAAAAAACAAGUCAAGGUUGAGAAAGUUUCUUAACUUUGCAAUUGAUGAUGCUAUCCUGGAGGAGAGAAUUACUGGUAGCUGGAUACAUCCAUUUAGUGCUCAUACUUACCACUCAAUGUUUGCACCCCCAAAACUGCCGGUGUUGAUAAUAUAAUAAGUGACCUCAUCUCUUUGUGAUAUUGAAAACUAGCUCUUUCUUGAUGUCGGUGACAUGCUAUCAUUGUUCAUUAUGUGUGAAAUAAGUAUAUCUGCUCUUCAACCAUAAUAUUUCUGGUUACUCCAUUAGUAAGCUUUGCUUCUUUGGAGCUGAUUCUGUUUGAUCAUGUUUGAAGGUUUGUGAUUAUACAGCUGCUGUUCUCAAGUCAAGGCUCUAAACCUUCCAUAAGCACACUGGGCCAGUAUGUUUCCCUCCCUCAUAUAUCUAUUGUUCUAACUCUGCUUUCAACCAAGUUACACUUGUGAAAUAAGUUUUUUGAAUAUUUACUUGGAAUGCUGAUUAAGUCGACUCCAUCGUUUUUUGCUUGGUCGUAGUUGCUAUGCUCAUUCUCCCAAAUGCAUUCGAGGGUCUUGAUGUUUCUGUGGUUCAUAUUGUUUUUAUUUUCCCGAUUUGAGGAAAUGGUAUAGUUAUCCUACUUCGUUUAACCUUUAUGCCGAAAACUUUCUUGUCACCGUUAGUCUGAGAAAAUUGUAACUUUAGCUUCUUGGUUUAGGUCAUAUUCUCUAAUGUAGAAAAACUUUACUUGCUGGUAUCUUUGUGACUGCAUUUUAGUUCCUAUGUUGCCCACCAAUCUCCAUAAUAUCUAAAUGUGUGAUGGACACAGUUGUUGGUCAUGAGAGAGAGAGAGAGAGAGAGAGAGUUGAAAACAACAUGACUAGAAUUUUGAUCAUAGAAGUCUAGGACACGACUCCAUCUGUCGACAGAUUGUCCAGAAUGACUAGGUAGUGGAUCCAAACUCCUUUAUACUUGCAAAGGAUUCAUUCAGAUGUCUUUUCUGCUCUUUCUUAAAUUCCUUCAAAUAUCAUUGUGAUUUAAAACAUAGUCUUCGCGACCGUCUUUUCUUUGCCACGUGAACGAGUGAUAAUGGUUCCGCGUACACGUAUAUUGCUUGGUACAAGUGGGGUAAAUCCGAGCCCAUAUGCUCUGGUCCGACUUUGUCUCGUAUGUAAUUCAUCGGUCAUGCAUAUUACUUUGUACGAAAAGAUAUGACCUCCUUGUCAGUGGUUUGGACUCAUUAGGAUACACACUAGCUCGAGUCGUAGCUCCAAGGUAUUGAUUCGAGUAGUCUCGUUCGAUUUCAUCUCAUGUACUUGUUCAUCCGUGCACGUCAUGUGUAUGAUGUCGAUACUUCAGCGGGUGAUGUCGGGAAGGUGGCCAACCAACCCUAUACUACACUGCUAAAAAUGUAAAAAUUUAUGUGUGAUCAAAUCUGAUCUUCCUACAAUAGCAAGUCAAUAAUCCUACUAUGUUGGUGCAAAGCUUGAAAAUGAUGGCUUUCUUUAAAGAAAAAAAAUACAGACAUACGCUAUGUAUCUUUGAUUUCUGUAAUUAUUUCAAUAGUAGUUUUGGUUGUUGCCUCCCCCAGAUUGAAUGCACUUGUGCUACAAAACCUAUCAAUUUAAUUAUUUUAAUAUAUAUUUGUAUUUCCUAGAUUAAA